rnacentral:lncRNA from 1 species
CCUCUUCCUCCUCCUCCUGGGUCGGGCAGAUCCCCUCCCCAUGGCCGCCUCCUCCUGGGCUGGGCCCGUGCCUCAUCCCCUCCCUGAGCCGUUCCUGCAGUCGCCGUCUCCUCCUCCUCAUUCAUCCUCCUGCACCAUAAGCGGCACAGGUUCCAAGAUCUCCAUCUGGUCUGCCGGGAGCUGGUACACAGCCUCAGGUCCUCAACUGAAUGCCCAAUUAGAAGGUUGGCUUUCACAAGUGCAGCCCACAAAAAGUCCUGCUAGAGCCAUUAUUGCCCCCAUGCAGGAUAUACCUACUGUGGGUCUUGUGCUGCUCAUGCUUACAAACAAGUGGAUCCAUCUAUUACCCAGAGAAUAUUCAUUCUUGGGCCUUCUCAUCUAUCUCUAUCUCGAUGUGCACUUUCCAGUGUGGAUAUAUAGAGAGCACCUUUGUCUGAUCUUCGUAUUGAUCCAAAGAUUUAUGGAGAGCUAUGGAAGACAGGGAUGUUUGAGCGCAUGUCUCUGCAAACAGAUGAAGAUGAACACAGUACUGAAAUGCAUUUGCCUUAUACUGCUAAAGCCAUGGAAAGGGCAUGAGCAUUAUAGAACAACUAGACCCUGUAUCUUUUAGCAAUUACUUGAAGAAAUAUCAUAAUACAAUAUGUGGAAGACAUCCCAUUGGGGUGUUACUAAAUACUAUCACAGAGCUCCAGAAGAAUGGAAUGAAUAUGAGCUUUUCAUUUUUGAAUUAUGCCCAGUCAAGCCAGUGUAGAAAAUGGCAAGACAGUUCAGUGAGUUAUGCAGCUGGAGCACUAACGGUCCACUGAAGCUCUGAAUACUCAGGGAUACCACUUUCACAUACUCAUACUCUAAACGGGGCCCCAGCCUAGCCCUUAUAAAGAUACAAUUCCUGGUCUUUGGGGAUACUGAAACCUCAAAAUUAAUAGAACUUUCUUCUCUUCUUUUCUAGUAGGUGUAGUCCUUCCUUAAUUUCAACUCAUUAUAAAAUGCUUUUUUGUUUAGGACAAUGGAAGGAAGGAGGGAAGGACGGCAUCAAAAUAUUUUAUGAUUUAAAAAAGUGAUGAUGGAUAUAAAGUCAAGGUGGCAGACAGUCCUUCAAAUAAAACCUGUAAAGCAUUUACCA